rnacentral:rRNA from 1 species
UACGAAGGGUGCAAGCGUUAAUCGGAAUUACUGGGCGUAAAGGGUGCGUAGGCGGUUCGUUAAGUCUGUCGUGAAAUCCCCGGGCUCAACCUGGGAAUGGCGAUGGAUACUGGCGAGCUAGAGUGUGUCAGAGGAUGGUGGAAUUCCCGGUGUAGCGGUGAAAUUCGUAGAUAUCGAGAGGAACAUCAGUGGCGAAGGCGGCCAUCUGGGACAACACUGACGCUGAAGCACGAAAGCGUGGGGAGCAAACAGG